GUAGGCAAUGACCCUGCCGGGAGCUCCCAGGCUCUGCUCUCUAAGCUCUCUUCGUUUACACAACUCACUACACAUGUAAGUGCUUGUGACAAUAGUAAUUAACCUUCAUCUGGGGCUGCUCCGUGUCAGGCUCUGUGCCAAGCAUGUCACAUGCAUCAUCUCAUUUAAUCCCCAUAGCGACUCAGUGAGGGUUAUUAUGCCCCUUUAACAGCUCCUUUACCAGUGGGGCUUCCCAGUCCCCUCCCCCACCAGGUCCAUGAAGAUGGGGACAGUACCUGUUUCGUUCAUCUCUACACCUUAGUUCCCGACGGAAGCCAAGCACACAGGGGAGCUCAGAAAUGCAGGAGAUGCGGGUCUGAUCCCUCAGUCAGGAAGACCCCCUGGAGAAGAGAAUGGCCACCUCCUCCAGUAUUCUUGCCUGGAGAAUUCCAUGGACAGAGCUGCCUGGCGGGCUGUAGUCCAUAGAGUCACAAAGAGUCGAACACAACUGAGCAACAAAGCAUGCACACAUGUCUCCUUAAUAAACUUUCAUAAAAACUGCCAAACGUGAUGUUCAGAGGGCUUCUGGGUUGGUGAAUGCACUGAGGUACCAGGAGGUGGUACGCCUGGAGAGGGCAUGGAAGCUCUGUGCCCCUUGCCCCAUCCUUGCCCUAUGUACCUCUUCCAUUUGGCUGUUCCUGGAUUGAAUCCUUUAUAAUAAACCCACUAACAGUAAGUAAACCGCUUCCCUGAGUUC
ensembl:lncRNA